CUCCCCGAUGCUCUGUCUUGGGGGCCGCGGCACUCACACAGAUCUAGUGCAGUCAAAGCAAGCGGCCCAAGAACUAGCCCCCCAAAAUACCGAAAUUGGGGAGACCAAAUUAAAAGCAGCUGUUUAACAUACCUCCGGAACCAGACGAGGAGUCCUGAAUGGGAGGGAACGCCCCCCACUAGCCAUUGGCUUGCCUGCGCACACGUCAGUCCCACUGGAUCCGCCUCCUUUCCCCGCCCCUUCCCCUUCAUUGAUCGCCCAUUGCCUCCACAAAAAUAAAAAUAAAUAAUUAAACUAUCCACGAGUAAGAGUCGCCUCCAAAGCAGAGACUAUUACAUCUCCCACACCGCCACUUUGAGUUUUUCGAGGACUUCGAACUAGACCUUUUGGGAUUCGGAGUUCCGCAGGAUGGAAGCUAAAGGAGGUGCAUCUUAACUACCCGGCCCCAGUUUCCUCCACACACACAAGCCAUUUGGAGCUGGGUCAGGAGAAACCUGUAACAGUCUGUGGCCCUACCACUUGGACGCAUCAGAUCUCAGAAGUUAAGCAAGGUCCGGUUUGGUUAACACUCGGUUGGAUUAGCGAUUAGUCACCGUGAGGAAGCCAAAUCGGAUCCGAGAGUCUUUUUCUAAAGGCCAGUACUGGCCACAUUUUCUCCUGCCGCCUUCCUCAAAGCUGAAGACAUACAGAGCAAGUUAAGCCUUCGCUCUUCAACCAGCUGCAGCAAUAUGAAUGAACAGAAGAGCAGUCAAAAGAAGGAGGAAAUGGAAAGCAAAGGGAACUGGUAAUGCAGCAGCCAGAACAGCACCUUUCCCAUUUAGACAAGGUGAGCUGCUGGCAUUUCCCAGCAUGUCCUUUAGUGAAUACAGCCAGACCCCAGAAUAUGCUUUAACUAGCACUGGGUCCCUAUAAUUACGGAUUAACUAUCUAUCUGCAAGGCUGACAUGACCUCCAGCAUGUCCUAGUAUGUUAACUAGAAAUGUGCAUGGCUUUCCUAACCUUCGAGCUUAGGGCAGGGAAUCAAUGGAUAAAAGUAGACUAAC